GCUGGGUAUGGUGGCGCAUGCCUGUAAUCCCAGCUACUUGGGAGGCUGAAGCAGGAGAAUUGUUUGAACCUGGGAGGCAGAAGUUGCAGUGAGCCGAGAUCAUGCCACUGCACUCCAGCCUGGGUGACAGAGCAAGACUCUGUCUCAA
ensembl:misc_RNA Metazoa_SRP Metazoan signal recognition particle RNA